rnacentral:rRNA from 1 species
UUGUGAAGGUUGAAGCCAGAGGAAACUCUGGUGGAGGACCGUAGCGAUUCUGACGUGCAAAUCGAUCGUAUAACGUGAGUAUAGGGGCGAAAGACUAAUCGAACUAUCUAGUAGCUGGUUCCCUCCGAAGUUUCCCUCAGGAUAGCUGGCAUUCUGAGAAAUAAACAGUUUUAUCCGGUAAAGCGAAUGAUUAGAGGCAUUGGGGAUAAAUCAUCCUCAACCUAUUCUCAAACUUUAAAUGGGUGAGAAGCUUAACUCGCUUAAUUGGAGUUUUGCAUUGAAUGUGAGUGCCAAGUGGGCCAUUUUUGGUAAGCAGAACUGGCGCUGUGGGAUGAACCAAACGUUCGGUUAAGGUGCCUAACACGACGCUCAUGAGAUACCACAAAAGGUGUUGGUUGGUCUAGACAGCAGGACGGUGGCCAUGGAAGUCGGAAGCCGCUAAGGAGUGUGUAACAACUCACCUGCCGAAUCAACCAGCCCUGAAAAUGGAUGGCGCUCGAGCGUUGGACCUAUACCGGACCGUUGCUGUAAGCUGGGCCUAUGCUGUGUGAGGGCAAGCUGCACUUGGUCCAGGCAUGGAGUAACGGCAACGAGUAGGAGGGUCGCUGUGGCUAGCGGGAAGCCUCAGGCGUGAGCCUAGGUGAAGCAACCACAGGCGCAGAUCUUGGUGGUAGUAGCAAAUAUUCAAGUGAGAACCUUGAAGGCCGAGGUGGAGAAGGGUUCCAUGGGAACAGCAGUUGACCAUGGGUCAGGCGGUCCUAAGUGAUCCGGUAAAUCGGAACAGAGACGGGGUGCCUGACAUUGUCCGUUCGCGGGCUUUGUUCAGUAAUCUGCAAAGUACUGUUGCAUUGCAGCCCCCUGUAGCGAAAGGGAAUCGGGUUAAUAUUCCCGACCCUGUCCACGGAGAUUGGUGUGUGUCGGGCCUUUGGUUCGGCGUGCGCCCAGCGCGGUAACGCAACCGACCUCGGAGACGUCGGCGGGAGUUCUGGGAAGAGUUCUCUUUUCUUUGUUAGGAGUGCAUCCACCCCCUGGAAUCGGCUUGUCCGGAGAUAGGGGGCUAGCCUCCGUAAAGCACCACCCUUCUUGUGGUGUCCGGAACGCUCCUGUCGGCCCUUGAAAAUCCGAGCGAGGCAGUAUAAUUUUCGUGGCAGGCCGU